rnacentral:rRNA from 1 species
GAUGAACGCUGGCGGCGUGCCUAAUACAUGCAAGUCGAGCGAACAGACGAGGAGCUUGCUCCUCUGACGUUAGCGGCGGACGGGUGAGUAACACGUGGAUAACCUACCUAUAAGACUGGGAUAACUUCGGGAAACCGGAGCUAAUACCGGAUAACAUGUUGAACCGCAUGGUUUAACAGUGAAAGACGGUCUUGCUGUCACUUAUAGAUGGAUCCGCGCCGCAUUAGCUAGUUGGUAAGGUAACGGCUUACCAAGGCAACGAUGCGUAGCCGACCUGAGAGGGUGAUCGGCCACACUGGAACUGAGACACGGUCCAGACUCCUACGGGAGGCAGCAGUAGGGAAUCUUCCGCAAUGGGCGAAAGCCUGACGGAGCAACGCCGCGUGAGUGAAGAAGGCCUUCGGAUCGUAAAACUCUGUUAUUAGGGAAGAACAAAUGUGUAAGUAACUAUGCACGUCUUGACGGUACCUAAUCAGAAAGCCACGGCUAACUACGUG